rnacentral:tRNA from 1 species
GCCAGUGUAGCUUAGUGGUUUGAGUGUUGGACUACGACUCUAGAGACCAGGGUUCAAUUCCCAGCUCAGCCA